UAGAUUUUCCAUGAUGAACAUGAAAAGCGGAAGAGUUCUUGAAGACUAUAAUUCAUCACCCAAGCCUGACAAAACU